rnacentral:rRNA from 1 species
AGCUUGCUCCUCUGACGUUAGCGGCGGACGGGUGAGUAACACGUGGAUAACCUACCUAUAAGACUGGGAUAACUUCGGGAAACCGGAGCUAAUACCGGAUAAUAUAUUGAACCGCAUGGUUCAAUAGUGAAAGACGGUUUUGCUGUCACUUAUAGAUGGAUCCGCGCCGCAUUAGCUAGUUGGUAAGGUAACGGCUUACCAAGGCAACGAUGCGUAGCCGACCUGAGAGGGUGAUCGGCCACACUGGAACUGAGACACGGUCCAGACUCCUACGGGAGGCAGCAGUAGGGAAUCUUCCGCAAUGGGCGAAAGCCUGACGGAGCAACGCCGCGUGAGUGAUGAAGGUCUUCGGAUCGUAAAACUCUGUUAUUAGGGAAGAACAAAUGUGUAAGUAACUAUGCACGUCUUGACGGUACCUAAUCAGAAAGCCACGGCUAACUACGUGCCAGCAGCCGCGGUAAUACGUAGGUGGCAAGCGUUAUCCGGAAUUAUUGGGCGUAAAGCGCGCGUAGGCGGUUUUUUAAGUCUGAUGUGAAAGCCCACGGCUCAACCGUGGAGGGUCAUUGGAAACUGGAAAACUUGAGUGCAGAAGAGGAAAGUGGAAUUCCAUGUGUAGCGGUGAAAUGCGCAGAGAUAUGGAGGAACACCAGUGGCGAAGGCGACUUUCUGGUCUGUAACUGACGCUGAUGUGCGAAAGCGUGGGGAUCAAACAGGAUUAG